rnacentral:rRNA from 1 species
AUUGAACGCUGGCGGCAUGCCUUACACAUGCAAGUCGAACGGCAGCGGGGGAGAAGCUUGCUUUUCCUGCCGGCGAGUGGCGAACGGGUGAGUAAUACAUCGGAACGUGCCCUGUAGUGGGGGAUAACUAGUCGAAAGAUUAGCUAAUACCGCAUACGACCUGAGGGCGAAAGGGGGGGACCGCAAGGCCUCAUGCUAUAGGAGCGGCCGAUGUCUGAUUAGCUAGUUGGUGGGGUAAAGGCCUACCAAGGCGACGAUCAGUAGCUGGUCUGAGAGGACGAUCAGCCACACUGGGACUGAGACACGGCCCAGACUCCUACGGGAGGCAGCAGUGGGGAAUUUUGGACAAUGGGCGAAAGCCUGAUCCAGCAAUGCCGCGUGUGUGAAGAAGGCCUUCGGGUUGUAAAGCACUUUUGUCCGGAAAGAAAUGGCUCUGGUUAAUACCUGGGGUCGAUGACGGUACCGGAAGAAUAAGGACCGGCUAACUACGUGCCAGCAGCCGCCGUAA